UACGUAGGGGGCAAGCGUUGUCCGGAAUCAUUGGGCGUAAAGAGCGUGUGAGCGGUCCGAUAAGUCCGCUCUGAAAGCCCGGGGCUCAACCCCGGGAGGCGGGCGGAUACUGUCGGCUAGAGUCCGGAAGAGGCAAGUGGAAUUCCUGGUGUAGCGGUGAAAUGCGCAGAUAUCAGGAGGAACACCGAUGGCGAAGGCAGCUUGCUGGGACGGUACUGACGCUGAGACGCGAAAGCGUGGGGAGCAAACAGG
rnacentral:rRNA from 1 species